AUACAGCUGACGAGUCUGAAAUAGGACGAAACGCGCAUCAAACUGGAU
rnacentral:hammerhead_ribozyme from 1 species